AAUAUGGCCCCAAACCAUGGGCAAGAAUCAUUUAUCCAUAACUGGUUCAGGUUCAUUCAGAUCUAAUCUCCACAUCCGCAUCAGAUGAUUAUUUGUCUCCUUCAUUUAAUCAUUGCUCACAUGUGUUUUUUAUGCUUAUGUGUUUUUUAUGCUUACGUGUUUUUCCUUUUCCUCAUCAUCUUAUUACUAGACUGAUGUUUGUAAAAUGAUGUCUCAUUUGGGAAGAUCAUUUUUUUAAAAAAACACGAACAAACAAGACAAAAACACAAUUCUAGCUUAAAAUUUUGAAAAUAUCCUUCUAAUUUAUUUAGAGCUGGGGGAAUAAGCCUUUAAGGCCCAAGAUAUUACAUGGGCCUAGCAAACAAAUAUACCUCUAAACUAGGGUUCUCAAGGGUAUAUAUAUUCACAACUACGCUUCGUUUCCUCUCUUGUUACCGUCACCGUGAAUUAGCCGAUCAGGGUUUCAAGAAAAAGAGUUUCUCCGACAUGAGAGCCAAGUGGAAGAAGAAGCGUAUGAGGAGGCUGAAGAGGAAGAGACGAAAGAUGAGACAGCGAUCUAAGUAGACUCAGAGAAAGAGAGAGUGACUCCUCUUGAAAGACUUUGCUUUUCCAUCUGCUUCCUUUGUUUCCCUUUUCGCUAGAGAUCUUUAAAAGUACUUUUGGUUUGGUCUCAUUUCAGUUUUUUAAGCGUUCGUAGCUUUGUUUUUGUCGGAUUGUAGAGAUCCUCAAUUAAUGGCAAUGCUAUAUGUUUUAGUUAA